CUGGGUAUCCUUGUUGAAAAAGAACUGGCAGAAUGUUAGGUGCUUGUAUCCGAAGAGUACCAUGGGAAAAUCUUACCGUGUCUUUUGAGGGAUUUCUUUUUUCAUUUCGGUGAAUUUGUGAUCGCGCUUGAUACAUUAUCUUAAUAGCUAGAUACAAAUUUUCAUCUUGUU